rnacentral:rRNA from 1 species
UGAGGAAUAUUGGACAAUGGUCGGAAGACUGAUCCAGCCAUGCCGCGUGCAGGAAGAAGGUCCUAUGGAUUGUAAACUGCUUUUAUGAGGGAGCAAUAAGGACUACGAGUAGUUUGAUGAGAGUACCUCAUGAAUAAGCAUCGGCUAACUCCGUGCCAGCAGCCGCGGUAAUACGGGGGAUGCGAGCGUUAUCCGGAUUUAUUGGGUUUAAAGGGUGCGUAGGCGGUUUGGUAAGUCAGCGGUGAAAUUUUGCAGCUCAACUGUAAAUGUGCCGUUGAUACUGCUAAUCUAGAGAUUAGUUGGAGUGAGUGGAAUGUGUGGUGUAGCGGUGAAAUGCUUAGAUAUCACACAGAAUAUCGAUAGCGCAGGCAGCUCACUAAGCUAAGUUUGACGCUGAGGCACGAAAGUGUGGGGAUCAAACAGGAUUAGAUACCCUGGUAGUCCACACUGUAAACGAUGAUCACUCGUUGUCGGCGAUAUACAGUCGGUGACCAAGCGAAAGCGAUAAGUGAUCCACCU